rnacentral:ncRNA from 2 species
AUAGUAUCCAGAGUGCAGCGAGAGAUCUAGCUUUAUGACCUGCCGGCAACCGACCACAAUCAUGUGGAAGCGGUGCCAAUUCUAGCCCUAACGGGAAAGAUAAAU